AAGACACUAGUAAAAUGGAAUAUUACACUGCCUUGUCGAGGCAGAGUUGGGGGUUAAAAUCCCGCGUGUCUUG
rnacentral:tRNA from 1 species